rnacentral:rRNA from 1 species
UGAAAUAACGCACUAAAGUAGAUAAAAGCAGAGACUACAUCUCGUACCUUUUGCAUCAUGAUCUAGCCAGUAACCUCAAGCAAAGAGACCUCUAGUUUGAACCCCCGAAACCGGACGAGCUACUCCGGGGCAGCCUAUUAUAGGGCCAACCCGUCUCUGUGGCAAAAGAGUGGGAAGACCCCCGAGUAGAGGUGAAAGACCUACCGAGUCAGGUUAUAGCUGGUUGCCCAAGAAAUGAAUAGAAGUUCAGCCCCGCUGCGCCCUCGCCCACAACAGUUUUACUUAAACAAGGCACAAAGGACACCCGCGGGAGUUAGUCAAGGGAGGUACAGCUCCCUUAACAAAGGACACAACCUUAAACAGGAGGCUAAGGAAUAUAUUAAACUAAGGCCCUAGGUUUCAGUGGGCCUAAAAGCAGCCAUCUGAACAGAAAGCGUUAAAGCUCAGACCAACCCAAGCCUAUUAUAACAUUAAAAUCUCCAAAGCCCCUAGUAUUACUGGGCCAUCCUAUGCCCCCAUAGGAGGGACCAUGCUAGAACGAGUAAUAAGAAGAAAGACCUUCUCCCAGCACAUGUGUAAGUCGAAUCGGACACCCCAUCGACAAUUAACGAACCCAACAAAAGAGGGCAAUGCACCACCGCCACCCUAGGCCGAGAAGACCAUGUAAUAGAACAUCGUUACCCCCACACAGGAGUGCUUAAAUCAAGGGAAAGACUUAAAGGAUAAAAAGGAACUCGGCAAACCUAAACCCCGCCUGUUUACCAAAAACAUCGCCUCCUGCCACCACUAAUUAUAGGAGGUCCCGCCUGCCCUGUGACCAAAAGUUUAACGGCCGCGGUAUUUUAACCGUGCAAAGGUAGCGCAAUCAAUUGUCUUUUAAAUGGAGACCUGUAUGAAUGGCAUAACGAGGGUUUAACUGUCUCUUUUUCCCGGUCAAUGAAACUGAUCUACCCGUGCAGAAGCGGGUAUACACACACAAGACGAGAAGACCCUAUGGAGCUUUAGACGCCAACCAACCACGAAAAGCGGCCGCUAACUGGACCCUCAAACAACGUGAUUAUGGCACAAGCGUCUUCGGUUGGGGCGACCACGGGAGAUAACAAAGCUCCCGAGUGGAUAGGGGAACACCCUAAAACCCAGAGCCACAGCUCUAAGUCACAAAACAUUUGACCAAUAAUGAUCCGGCUUUAUGCCGACCAACGAACCAAGUUACCCUAGGGAUAACAGCGCAAUCCCCUCCCAGAGUCCAUAUCGACGAGGGGGUUUACGACCUCGAUGUUGGAUCAGGACAUCCUAAUGGUGCAGCCGCUAUUAA